UCUUCUGGGCGCACCACUU
rnacentral:misc_RNA from 1 species